AGGAAAAGAGAAGAGAAGAUUCAGGUGUUCUGCAACAGGAGAAAUUAUAAGUAGGGAAAGAUAUUGGGGGCUAUACAAGGAAAAGUGUGAUAAACAAGGCAGUAUGAUAAAAAUACUGCUUUCCAUAAAGGAAAACAAGUGUGGAUUCAGUGCCAGAUGAGGAAAUUCAAAUGGAAACUCAAGAGCCAGGAAGUGGAGAGACCAAGACAGUUUGUACAUGCUUGAAAUGAAGUAAGGACCUAGCAAGAAAACUUGAGCCAUCAACAUGGGUUGAAGCACGACAGUGGAUUAUUCUAUUGAAUAUUAACUCUGAAGAUGAUCUUUAUAGAGAAGAUUUUUCAAAGUAGCUGGUAUAGUGCUGUGUUUUUGAGUUUGGUAUGAGAAAAAUGUCCUGCCAGACCCCAGCCCUGGAGCAGCCGCCUUCUGCCCGGCUGUUCCCUGACGGCUUAGGGAUACACUAAGAGAGAGAAAACAAACAGACGGCUGUCAUUAAGGAUUGCCAAGGAAUCCAGGUGGAGUUAGUUUCUUCUACUGAAGAAAAAAUAUGAAAGAUGCCAUCUACCCAAACUUGUCUCUGCUCUGACUUUACUCCAGAUUGGAGGUGAAAAGCCAGAAAAGCUUUUACUGUUUUGUGAUAGAGGCAGACUUUACAUAAAUGUCACACAUUAUUUCCCCAAGUUUCCAAGCUGAGAUUUUUAGUCAUGUGCAAAAAAUCAAUCAGUGUAAGGUUCAUAUGCUACUCUCUCUUUUGUGGAGGAAUAAAAUGAGGAAAAAAGAUUGUAUACCAACAGAAGUCUUUAAUUUAAAAAAAUCUUGGCAUCAGUUGCUGAAUAGACAGCACUGAGCUUCUAAAUAUCUUAGCUAUCCCCAAAAGCAUGAACAUGUGAAGUGAAUGACCAUACCUAACUUAUUUAUACCCUAAUAUCCAAGAAACACAGUUGGAGAAAAUAUCAAAUUAAUAAUGAUCUAUUUCUUUUUUCACAUGCUUUUCAUAACGAGCCUUUUCUGCACAGGUGGCAACUUUGCUAUAGACUGUGCAUUAAUAUAAUCACAUCAAACAGAGACUGAAACUUUUAAAUAAAGAAAAUCAUGCUGUUGUUUUCUUUUUCCAGAAAUAUAACAUUC